rnacentral:rRNA from 1 species
GCACAACGCGAAGAACCUUACCAAGGCUUGACAUACACCGGAAACGGCCAGAGAUGGUCGCCCCGCAAGGUCGGUGUACAGGUGGUGCAUGGUUGUCGUCAGCUCGUGUCGUGAGAUGUUGGGUUAAGUCCCGCAACGAGCGCAACCCCCGUGUCCUGUUGCCAGCGCGUGAUGGCGGGAACUCUGGACAGACUGCCUAGUUCAACUGGGAGGAAGGUGGGGACGACGUCAAGUCAGUAUGGCCCUUACGCCCAGGGCUGCACACGUACUACAAUGCCCGGCACAGUGAGAGCCGAGACCGCGAGGUGGAGGAAAUCUGCAAAACCGGGCCCAGUUCGGAUCACGGGCUGCAACCCGCCCGCGUGAAGUUGGAAUCGCUAGUAAUGGCGCAUCAGCCACGGCGCCGUGAAUACGUUCCCGGGUCUUGUACACACCG